rnacentral:rRNA from 1 species
UACGUAGGGGGCAAGCGUUGUCCGGAUUUAUUGGGCGUAAAGAGCGUGUAGGCGGCCAGGUAGGUCUGCUGUGAAAACUCGAGGCUUAACCUCGAGCUGUCGGCGGAAACCAUCUGGCUAGAGUCCGGAAGAGGAGAAUGGAAUUCCCGGUGUAGCGGUGAAAUGCGUUGAUAUCAGGAGGAACACCCAUGGCGAAGGCAGCAAACUGGUCAUCAACUGACGCUGAGGCGCGAAAGCGUGGGUAGCAAACAGG